rnacentral:lncRNA from 1 species
UUACACCUACCAGAUACUAGGUAGGAAACCACGGAAAAGUAGUCGUCAUCAAUUAGGAUGAAUCAAAGGCUAACCCUGCCAAGGGGAUAAAAAUAGGAUUUACAACUACCGGUAUGAGGGUAGAAAACCAAAGAAAUGGGACUUAUAACUACCGGUAUGAGGGUAGAAGGCCACAAACCCCGCCGGGGAGAAGGAUGGAUAAUUACUGGUUAAUGAGCAAUCA